rnacentral:rRNA from 1 species
UACGGGGGGAGCAAGCGUUGUUCGGAUUUACUGGGCGUAAAGGGCGCGUAGGCGGCCACCGCAAGUCAGUUGUGAAAGCUCUGGGCUUAACCCAGAAAGGUCAACUGAUACUGCGGGGCUAGAGUGCGGAAGGGGCAACUGGAAUUCUUGGUGUAGCGGUGAAAUGCGUAGAUAUCAAGAGGAACACCUGCGGCGAAGGCGGGUUGCUGGGCCGACACUGACGCUGAGGCGCGAAAGCCAGGGGAGCGAACGGG